UUUCCGUAGGUGAACCUGCGGAAGGAUCAUUAAAGUUAUAGUCCCCCGGCCCUCUGGGCUGGGGUCUUCUAUACCACCCUUUGUUCAUUACACCUUUGUUGCUUUGGCAGGCCUGCCCUCGGGCUGCUGGCUCCAGCCGGCUCGCGUCUGCCAGAGGACCUAAACUCUGUUUGUAUAUGAAGUCUGAGUACUAUAUAAUAGUUAAAACUUUCAACAACGGAUCUCUUGGUUCUG
rnacentral:misc_RNA from 1 species